rnacentral:rRNA from 1 species
UGGGGAAUAUUGCACAAUGGGCGAAAGCCUGAUGCAGCAACGCCGCGUGAGUGAUGAAGGUCUUCGGAUUGUAAAGCUCUGUCUUUUGAGACGAUAAUGACGGUACCAAAGGAGGAAGCCACGGCUAACUACGUGCCAGCAGCCGCGGUAAUACGUAGGUGGCGAGCGUUGUCCGGAUUUACUGGGCGUAAAGGGUGCGUAGGCGGAUGUUUAAGUGAGAUGUGAAAUACCCGGGCUUAACUUGGGUGCUGCAUUUCAAACUGGAUAUCUAGAGUGCAGGAGAGGAGAAUGGAAUUCCUAGUGUAGCGGUGAAAUGCGUAGAGAUUAGGAAGAACACCAGUGGCGAAGGCGAUUCUCUGGACUGUAACUGACGCUGAGGCACGAAAGCGUGGGUAGCAAACAGGAUUAGAUACCCUGGUAGUCCACGCCGUAAACGAUGAGUACUAGGUGUAGGAGGUAUCGACCCCUUCUGUGCCGCAGUAAACACAUUAAGUACUCCGCCUGGGAAGUACGAUCGCAAGAUUAAAACUCU